rnacentral:rRNA from 1 species
UACGGAGGGUGCAAGCAUUGAUCGGAAUUACUGGGCGUAAAGGGCGCGCAGGCGGUCAGGAAAGUCAGACGUGAAAUUCCGGGGCUCAACCCCGGAGCUGCAUCUGAAACUGCACAUCUAGCAGAAUGGCGGAGAAAACGGAAUUCCACGUGUAGCGGUGAAAUGCGUAGAUAUGUGGAAGAACACCUGUGGCGAAAGCGGUUUUCUAGCCUACUCUGGACGCUGAGGCACGAAAGCAAGGGGAGCAAACAGG